rnacentral:rRNA from 1 species
GAUGAACGCUGGCGGCGUGCCUAAUACAUGCAAGUCGAGCGAACGGACGAGAAGCUUGCUUUUCUGAUGUUAGCGGCGGACGGGUGAGUAACACGUGGAUAACCUACCUAUAAGACUGGGAUAACUUCGGGAAACCGGAGCUAAUACCGGAUAAUAUUUUGAACCGCAUGGUUCAAAAGUGAAAGACGGUCUUGCUGUCACUUAUAGAUGGAUCCGCGCUGCUUUAGCUAGUUGGUAAGGUAACGGCUUACCAAGGCAACGAUGCAUAGCCGACCUGAGAGGGUGAUCGGCCACACUGGAACUGAGACACGGUCCAGACUCCUACGGGAGGCAGCAGUAGGGAAUCUUCCGCAAUGGGCGAAAGCCUGACGGAGCAACGCCGCGUGAGUGAUGAAGGUCUUCGGAUCGUAAAACUCUGUUAUUAGGGAAGAACAUAUGUGUAAGUAACUGUGCACAUCUUGACGGUACCUAAUCAGAAAGCCACGGCUAACUACGUG